rnacentral:ncRNA from 1 species
GAGAGCACAGUACGAUGAAAGUUGUAAGCUGUGUUCGGGGGGGGGAGAGUUAUUGUCUAUCAUUGGACUCUAUGGUAGAAUCAGUCGGGGGCUUGAAAGGCAGUGGUUUACCCUGU